GAUGCUGAUAAAGAUGGGCGUCUAACCUUGGCAGAGAUGAUUGAUAACCCUUAUGUAUUUUACAGUGCUAUAUUGAAUGAUGAUGAGGAUGAGGAUGACUAUGAGUACCAUGAUGAAUUCCGUUAAUUUCAUGCUAGGAUACAGGGAAAAACUUUGGUAGAAUUCAAAAUUAUUUUGGCUAUAUGGUACUAGUAAGAAAAAGCUCCACGACCUUGACGUAAAAUUUGCUCUUCCAAAUUGCCAUUUAUGGUUAAUCGCCAUGUGGUCAUAAGUCAUCUUGUACCCCCAGUUUUACCGUCAGAUAGUUCUUGGCGUCAUUGUUGUUCAUUAGAUAUGAAUGUCAGCCCACUGUGAAGAGUGACUUACACUAGAUUGAUAGCUGGAAUAUUAAUUUUGUGGCACACAGUUGUUAGAUAUUCUGAUUUUUUUUUAUAUUCUUGGGGUUUUUACUUUUUGAAGGCUUUGUUACUCUGCAUAUUUUAUCAAGUUGAGUUGUACAUGUAUGAUAUUAUAAAAACAUUUAUCUCCAUUAGUUGUUCCAAGUGGAAGUAGUUUUAAUUGUUA